GUCGAACGGCGCUGUGUUGCGACGGGACCAUGCCGCCGCGCCCUGCACCACCGAUCAACCGAUCUCAGGUACGCGAGACACAUUAUCAUUCCCGAGAUAUCGAUACAUUUCAUUACAGAGAGGCCAUUCCUUCCCGUACGAAUGAACGUGGUUCCGGUGUUUUCGCAUCUUUUCCUUUAUCUCGGCUGGUGAUUCGGAGAAACGUGUAUAUUUUCAACGUAGAUCGCGUCUCACGAGAGUGAGAUAAAUCCGUUUCUCGUGAGUUGCUGCUUCUUCUCUCCUCUUUGAUAAUUGAUAAUUUGUGCUGUUUCGUGUGUUCGUUCUUCUUGUAAAAAAAAAAAAAAGAAAGAAAACGUUCAGAUAUCGUGAUUAGAAAAGAGAGAGAAAAAGAGAGAGUGUGCGAGGAAACUUUGUCUUUCCUGUUCGUCGUUUUUCACUGCACUCUCUGUUAUGAUUUUGGUGCGGUUUAGUGGAAGGAGCGAAGGAGCCACGCGAGGGAGAAACAACCUCGAGUUUUUUUGGUGAAACUUGUUGUUCGUUACGUAUCCUCGUGUGGAUACGACACGAUCCUACGAUCCGUACGUGGAAAGAGAAGAGAUUUAGAAUACAUUUUCCUUGUUCCAUGGGAUUAGUUACGCGUGAUCAUCCACCGGCUAUCGAUUAUAAAAAAAAUAGAAGAAACCGAAGAGAGAAAGAUUAUUAUCAAUAUAGAAAGAUGCGUCUCUUCUUUUUUUUUUUUCUUUUUUUCUUCUUUAAGAGAUGCUUCCUUUUGAACACCCGCUUGACAUUCGUGUAAUAUAAUACCAUCGACCUUCGAAUACAUCCACUUAAAAUAGUUUCGAUCGAGUCUUCGAAAAAAGACCAUCAACGGAACUCGAAAACGUGAUGUCUUAAUCCAUCGAGGGAAUCGAGAUAGAAAGCGAGAGAGAAAGUGAGAGAGAAAAAGAGGUGUUGUUUGCCUCUGGAGGGCUUUCAUGGAGCUAUCUCACCGAAGGGGGAUGGGAAAAUACUUUUUGGCGGAGAAUAUGAAGUGAAUCCUUGAUCAGUUUCCGACUUUUUGCUUACUCUCGUUAUGCGUUUUUGUGUGUAAGCAUCAUGACAAAGCCAUGUAAAAUAAUUAAAAUAGUUUUGUGCGUCCGUCGGUUUUCUCGCGUGUGCUUAUGUGCGCGUAUACAUAUAUAUGUAUACAUAUAUAUAUAUAUGUAUAUACGUCGAAGAUCAAAGAAACGCAAAAAGAUUGUGCUACGGAUUACCAGCAUGUUCAUAAAGGGAUGCUUUUGAUAAAGGCGCCGCUUAGGCGAGACACGGUUUACUUCAUUUUCACGCCGGUGGGGACCGAUAUUUUUCACCCUCCCCCCUCCCCCGUUUAAUGCUGGUCUCUCUUUGCCUAAGUGCAUACCGCGUGGCCGACCUUGUUUUAAACGGAGCUUCAUUAAUUAAAAAAAGAAAAAGAAUAUAUAUAUACACGUAAUAGUACAUGCAGAGGCUGUGCACUAUUGAAAUAUUUGUCUCGAGUUCUUCAGAGAAUGGCUACAUUAUUGGCAGGAAGUUUUGUUGUUGGCCCAUCCCUCCGCAAUUUCACUGAAGUAGGCAGUUUGCGUUUCAGUGGGCUCUGUUCGACGCUCUUGGUGCCUCGGCGAAAAGUUAAAUUAAUGGAAAAUGAAGGGAACAGAAUUCAUUGAAAAGUUGAAGUAUUUAGUCGAUCGCUUAAAGAUAUUGGUUUUCUUCUGGAUCGAGGAAAGUAGGAUGAGUCACCUCCCUCCGUGUAACUUUCUUACACUCUUCUAACCAUAAAUAAUAAUCGCGUCUCGAGGGUAGGAAAAUAAUAGAAUUAAGUUAAUUAGGUAUACCAAGUAACAAUCCGUUCUCGAUGAACGGAAUCGGUUUUCUCGGAGCCGAUCAAUCGAAGCGCCGUAAGUUGCUCAAACUGUUCUUUAAACGCGGACCGAUUUAAUUCCGUGCUAUUUCUCAAGAACGCGAUCUAUAUUCCUGAUGACGCAUCGACGUGAUGGAAAACCGUUUUCUUCGUUCUCCUCGCCUCGUGACGAGGAAAAAAGAAGAAAAAGCGACACGCUGAAAUAAUAGAAAAUGUGGAACAUCUCGGAGGUAGUAAUGUCAUAAGGAAAAUACACAUGUAGAACGAUAUAUAUAUUAAACUAGAUUUAUUGUCGUUUAAAAUACACGAGACCAGUUAUUGUUAACCAUCUAACACGUCUCUCAUUGGUACAAAUUCUCUUUAUUAUCAAACUUUGCGAGAAAUUUUGUAUCCACUAACCAAACUACUAAAUUCUACCACGUGUACAGUUUAAACAUUAACCGUUCGAAUUCUAUUGUUCGUCAAUCGUUAUUUUCCUUUCGUGAUCACGGAAUCAGAAGAAACGAGUACACGUUUCGAGGGAACGUGAGAAGCGACGACGAAAACAAAAACACGUGAGAAGAAAAGGGAGUGGAAGAAAGGAAAAGGAACAUCUUGCAGCGUUCCUUUUUUUCACUUCGUUGUGCUUUGGAGCUCGCGAUACGCACGUCUGGCACGUCUAUCUCGAGCACGAGCACGGAAUAGAUAUAUCAUUGUUAUGGGUUGAAAUAUUUUUCGUUGACGGGAAAUAAUGCUCGUACCAUUUUGUCUCGUUAGCUGACAAUUCUUGUACCUAUUCUUGCGUGUCACGGGAUUUUAUACCGGCCAGGAUUAAUGGUAUAGAAAGAGGAGAUAUUUUUCGGUUAACCAAUCGCGGAGACUGUAUUCCGCGAAACAAACUUUAGUUCUUCCAGCGGCAUUGCUUAAAAAGGGGGAAAAAAAAGUUAGUGGAAAGGAGAGAAACAAUGGUUUCAAUCGAUAACUGGAAACUUUUCUUGGUCAUUUCUGCUUUGCUUCCUCUUUUAAAUUUCGCCAGAUAAAUUCUAUAUCAAUGAGAAAACUAUUGUAGGAGUUAAUAUUCGAUUGCGUCCUUUGUUCUAUGAAAUUUUAUUACUUUUUUUCGAAAGGGGAUAGGGAAAGGAGAGAAACGAUGGUUUCGUGUGAAAAUGGUUUCUUUUCAUUUGAGAUCAUCAUCAGGAAAUCGGUAUAUCAGUAAGUAAAAUAUUGUAGAGAAACAUUAAUUGCUGUUGUUUGAUUAAAAAUCAUGUUUUUGUUUGUCGUUUAUUUCUAUUUUCGAAAAGAGAUAGGGGAAUCUUAUCUUAAAUCUUCGUCAGCCAUAUCGGCGAAAAACAAUUGUGGCUAUUGAUGUUUGACGAACAUUGUGUCUAUUCUAGAGUUUUAUUACUAUUUUCAAAAAUAGAUAGGGGAGAAAGGAGCAUCCGAUAUGAAAUUUGGUCAUUCGUAUUUUGAUCAUCACAUUGACGAUAGUGAACGUGAAAAAUCAUAUUGUUUUUUGUCUUUUGAAAUUUUAUUAUUUUUUUGAACAUGAAUAGAGAAAGAAAAGAGAGAAGAACAAUGAUUUUAAAUUGACAUGAAACUUUUCUUGCACGUUUGUACCUGAUUCUCCUUUUAAAUCUCAUCAGAAGAUUGUCAUAUACAUAAAAAAACUAUUGUAAGGAUUGAUGUUUGGUAAAAAUCAUCUUGUUCAUUUAAAUGCAUUUAUAUAAACUUGUCCAAGUGCAAUAUUUUCUCUAGAAUGUAUAAUAAUCCAUUAAAUAUUAUAAAUUUUACAGGCAUAAUAAUUAAUAAAAAUUUAUUUUUUAUCAUCAGAUAUAAUUUAUAUUUGUAAUUAUAUUACAACGAGUAAUUGAUUAUAAUUGAGAUAAUAGGAAUUCAGUGAUCAUAUACUUAAAUGAAAUCUACAUAAAUGAAUUUUCACUUAUAUAGAUUAAAUAAAACAAAGCAUGUGAUUUGCUAAUAUUAUUUAAAUUCAAAGAAGGUAUAAAUAUUAUAAUUUCUUGUACUUUGAAUACUUGAAAUAAAUAAAUUUUAAGUGAAUAACAGUGUACAGUAAACGGCUUACCAAGUUUAAUCGAAUAUCAGGAUUACAAGGAAAUGUCUCAUCUAAAAGUGAAUGACAGAAUCAUUAAUGUAGCAAAAAGUAGAAUAAAGCGAAAUAUAUUUGCAUAUAAUGUAAUAUUUCUCUCUGAAUAAAAAAUAUGAAUGAAAAGAUAUGACAUGAAUUUCGACAGCCAAAUAAAAUAUUUUGUAAUCAUGAUACAUACGAUGUAAUAAUGGCAAAAUAAUUAAUCUUUUUUUAAUCAAAGAAUCAUUAUAAUAUAAGAAAAAUAUUAUAUAAUUCUUACACUGUAUUUUAAUUAAAGUAUAAAUACUUUUUUAAAAUAUUUCAUAUGUAAGUAUCAUGUGGAUAUCUAUAGAAAAAAGUAUUUAUUUAGUAAUAUUCGUAGAUUUAAUUUUAACGUUUUUCAUUAUUACAUUUUCAAUUAUAUGUAUUAUUCAUAUUUAAAACUAUUUUAUAUAAAUUAUUAAUUUUCGUUUAAAAGAAAUUAAGAUUUUGCAAUUUUAGGUGAUUUUUUAGCGAGUAUUUCACUUUAUCCUGUGAUUUUAUUCAAGAAUGAUAUCUCAAUGCCUUUAGAAAAUUGUAUUUUUCUUUGUAAUUGUAUCUUAUUCCCUCAGUUAGUCUUUAUCAGCGAAAAUUCAAAAUUAAUUUUCAAUUUUACUCUACUUUCAUUCGUAUACAUUCCCCAGCAAAAAUCUGGAGAAAAAAAACCAUACAAAAACUGUAUUAUACAAGCCCAUACACAACAGUUUUACAAUAUUUGAAUAAACAAGCUGAACAAAGACCGAUAUAAGACUACAUUAUCAUUAAAAUAAUUUAUUUCUCCUCGCAACAAAAGCAAACAACAUCCCCUCGUAAACGUGAUAUUAUUCAUUCAAUGUCAAUAAAUACGAGACGUUUCGAAACGUUAAAUCAAUCCGCGGGAAUGAGAGGGAUAUUUUGCGAUGAAAUCGGCGCAAUCAAAGCAACUUUAGAUCAUCGUUAUUCCUUAAUAACCCGGAGCUUGUUUAAUAAAUAUUUCCCACGGCGAUAUUCAAGCGGAUGUUGGAUAGGAUUUCCCGCGACCUGAAAUUUCCACCACCAUGUUUCCACCACGAUGAACCGAGUUUUAUAUAUCGCGAGCUCCCUGAUUGCGUGAGCCCGUUAGGCUUCGAUAAAUAUGCAUUCGUCGCCCUCUCUCGUUCUUUUUUCUCUUCUCUUCUUUUUUUUUCUCUCUCUCUCUCCCUUUGCUCCCUCCCUCUGCCUCUGCGAGAGAAGGUUUUGCAACGAGUGUUCCGAGCUGUUGGUGAAUUUUCGCCUUGCAAGGGGAGAACGGUAUAAGUUAUUGAUUAUCGUGAAUGGUUUUAUAAAUAACCGAUCGUGUAGGAGCAGCCGCCGGACGACGCGUAAAUAUCGCGCUUGCCGGGGAUGAUUCUUUAAAAUCGCCGCGCGCGCCGCCAUAGAAAAAGGGGGGCGAGAGAUGAAAUCCGGGCCGUGUGUUUGAUCGAUACCCAUCGUAAUUCCUCUUGAAUUCUUAUUUCAUUAAUUCUAAUACUCCACGUGGCGGAUUGCCCUGUGAAGGAUAAAUAGGCAACUGAGUGAGAUAAGGUUUGAUGAUCAAGAUUAAGUUGAUGACAGAAGAAAGAAUUAAUCACAAUGAUUAUUAAUCAAGGUAAAUCGUGAUAGAGAAAAAUCUUGUACAACAUCGGUAAUUGUGUAUACAGUUUUUAAAAAAAUCGAUGAAGGAUCAAGAAGAGAUUGGUUCGUUACGAAUUUUUAGAAUGAUUUUGAGAAUAACAUCAUUCACAAAUCACUUUGUACAUUUUGUUGGCGAACAAUAACUAAAUUUAAAUAUUAUCGAUCAAUAUUUAUUGAUAAAAAAAGUUUUCUCUUUUUUAUAAAACUUACCUCUGCCAUUUUCUAUCGACAAAUUAUUGUGAUAUAUAUAUAAUAAUAAUAAAUGUGACAAAAGUGGAUUAAAUAAAAUGUCGUAAAGUGAAAGUCGUGUUAAGAGCACGAUAAAAGUAAAUAAACGAUUUAUUGUUCUAAAAUUACACAUAUAAUAAAUAAUCAUGAUCAAUGUAACGUGAUUUCGCGUUAAUUACAAUCUUCAAUCAAAUUAUAUCUUUGUUCUCUAAAGCUCUCUCUAUUUACAAAAUUCUAUUUUGUUUGCUACAACAUCUGGAACAAUACGGAGGAAAAUUCUCCUCGUAAAAGCUCGAUCUUUGGGAUAAACCGACUGGCCGAUAUUAAAUUCUUUUACGGCCAUGAUUUUUUACUUAUUUCCUCCGUGUUCUGUGUACAUAAAUGGUGUCCAGAGAUGAAAAGCUUUCUUCCUUUCUUUCUUUCUUUCUUUUCUGUUUUUUUUUUCUUUUUUUCUUUCGUCAGAAGAGAGGCUAAAUGAAUCUUUAAAUUCUAGCUUAAUCGAGAGAGUGAAUAUCAAUUUUUUAUCAAUUAACGGGGACUGAAAGCCGCGAGUGCUUGUCGUUCUGGUAUCCGGGGCUCUUAUUUACGUAACGAGUCGCGCUCUGUUAAAUUUCCUGAGAAAUAAGGGCGUAAACAGUGUCGUGUUUUGCGUCAGUUAAAAUAGCUUUAAUAAGGUAAGUGGCAACUCGAGUGUCUCAUCGGCUGUUCCCGUAUAGAUCAUCGUCGAUUGUACUUGAGCGGAACCAUUUCUGUACCAUUGAUCCUUAUUCGAUCUUCGUAAAAAACAAUUUAAAUGGAAUAAUUAACACGAACACGCACGAGAUAAUCUGAGAACAUGAUGGACAAAAGGUUGGUUAAAGCGGCUUCACUCGAAAAUAUAUCAAAGGAAAUCUGAAUCUGAAUUAAUAAUCUCAAUAAUUACGUAGUGGCAGCGAUCUACGUAGAAACUAGAGAAAUAAUUGAUGUAACGAGAACGUAAAUAUUUAUUGCUGCUGUGAAACGUGUGUAUAUUAUGCAUAUUCGCCCAUAAUAUUUCAUCGCCUUUGUUUCCUUUUCUAUUAAAAAUUUGUUGAAUCGUUUGGUGGCACAGACUAAUUUCCCCUUUUUAGGACACUGGCUUAUUCUCGUAAUCGGUUUAUCUCUCGGAAUAUCAGGGAGUUAUUUCAAAACAGAGGAGAUAUCAAAUAAAGUAACAAAGAAAAAACUUUUUCUCCCUUGUCCUUCUCUUUAUGAUAGGAAAAUACACGAAAAAAAAAAAGAAAAAAAGGAAAGAAAAGGAAGAAUUAUGCGUAAAAUUUGUGCAAAACGAUGUUCUAGAUAGUUGCAAAUAAUUGUUGAAAUUUAAAAUUGCUUAUGUAAUGGAUUACAUUUGAAAUUAUGCAUUUCUGAGCUUAGCUACCGAGUUAAAUUAGAGUUAAAUUCGCGAAGAACUUUAGAAAAGGUUUUUGUAAUAUUCGUAGAUGAAAAUUUCUUGUUCUGAUCUCAUUCUCAGUAAGAUUUAUUUAUUUUUAAACUUGAAUAUUCAUCCCUAGAAAAUUUUUCCUUCUUCAAAAUCGAAAUCGUGAACUCCUCCUAUAAAAAUCUGUAUUUAUAAUUCUAGUUAAGCAAUAUAAAAAUGAUUAUUUUAAUUUGUUUUCCACAUUUUUUGCAUCUUCUUUUUCCCCUCUCUUGAUUACUCGAUAAUCAUUUAUAUCACGUAUAAUAAAAAAAAUAUGAUUGAUAAAAGUUCGAUUCACGAGAUAAAAACGACAGACGAGAUAUUGUUAACAGCUCCUCGAAAUGUUCGCAUUUGUAUAGAAAAAGGUAGACAAUAGAAAGUCAAUGAUUUACCAAACUUGAGAGAUGUGCAAAGGACGUAUAAAUCCGCGUGACAUUUUGUGCUCGAUAAUAAAUGAAAAGGACCAUCCUGUACAAUUUCUUCGUCGAUGGAACUACCCUUGUCAAUUUCUCCUUCCCCAGAGAUGAGAAUUUCCAAUAUCGUUGCUUAUGAAGAUACAGAUUAAUAGUCGAGGUUUUUGAUCAUGUUUCGUCUUUGUAGAAGCCGUGGAUGCUAGCCGCAAUUUCUUUUUUCCGAUUGGCAGCGUUGGAUAUGCAAAUGGCGGUCUACGUAACCUUCCCUCCCUAAUUCAACAAGCGGUCGCAUAAAUUUCAAGUAAUGGCAGGCAAUUACAGGAUAAUAGUGCGAUCGUGCCUAACAUUGACUGUGGUGUGGACAGGUCAUAAAAAUGAAACGCGUAAUUAUAUACGAUUUUGGAAGGGGAGGGAAAGUUUCAACUUUUAUAGAAAAGCUAUACGUGUCGAUCUUUUUUUUUCUUUCUUUUCUAUUUUCGCGCACGCGAGACUUUUUCACCGGGAAUUUUUUUCCUCUUGGGUUAAAACUGUUUCACUCGCCAACUUCUUAUCUUGUUUCUAUUUGUAAAAUAAACGUAUACUAGAAAGAGAAAAAAAAGUAUUUGUACAUACUGCUAUUUUAUAAUGACGCGUUUUUUUAUCAUGCUCCAUAUUUUACUUUCAUCGUAUCAAAUUUAAUCAUACGAAAGCGUUAACAAAUAACACUGUACGAGAUUAGAACGUGAAGCUGAGUCUGCGAAAUAAAUCGAAAAUAGAGAAUAAAAUUUCCUCGUUUCCCACUUUGUAAAUCAAAUUCGAAAAUUUUUCAAACAUGAUCAGACAGAAAUUGAUUAAUUUUCAAAUUCAAUCCUAUAGAAAACUAAUUUCUAAAUGAAGAAAAAAAGUUUAUUCCAUAUUUUCUUGUUUAUCGAUAAUGCAUUUUUUUCACAUAGUUUUUCGACUUACUUUUUCAUAUAGAAUCAAUCUUUAUGUAGUAUUUUCUACAAUAUUCUGUCUUCUUUUAUAUGAUUAUGAUAAAAUUAUAAAUGCUGUAAUAAAUAUAACGAAAAUACUUUUAUAUACAGCUAUAUUACAGAAUGAAUUUUCCACGUAGUUUGAAAAAGGACUUCACGCUUGCGAAUCAAACUUACUUCACUUGAAGGCAUCGUAUUGAAGUUUGGUUGAAACCAGGUGUUCGAUGGAUAUUCUUUUUAUUCCCUUCUCUCUUUCUUUUCUAUCCACUUUUCUUUCUUUCUUUUUUUUUUUUUUCAAUAAAACGUAAAUUCAACGCUGCAUCGCGUACAAGAUUGCCCGCCUCUUUACAACGAUAAUCCGCCUGCUUUGGAGUACCAAUCGGCCGUGAUGUAAGCGUAAAAUGAUUAAUUAGAGUGCAGAGAACCGUGGAAGAAGCGCGGGAAACUGUCCGCCUCGUUUGUGGGAGGAGGUUUCCUUUAAUUAAAACGCAUGCAUGCAUCGUUUGCUUUUCCUUUCUCUCUCUUUUUCCCUCCUCUCAUAAUUGUACACAAAUUAAAACGUGUUUUAAAAUUGUCGUUAAUUCCAACUUCUGUUACCUACAUUAAUUGACUAUCUAUUCAUCGUUAAUUAAAUCUUCGUCGUUUCACGCGUUAAAUCGUUAUCGACGUCUCGUUCCGAUCUAUCUGCUUUUUGCCACCUCAUUUCCUCUCAACGAGAUCGUCCCGAUCUGAAUUAGUCGAAUUUCCAUCAAACUUCUUUUUUUCUUCUCUUCUCUUUUUCUUUUUACCUGAUACCGAAAUAAGCGAGAAUUGUUUGUUUCAAGAAACGGAGAGAGAGAGAGAGAGAAAUGCACUCGACUUUCGACAGACGUGAUGCAUCUCUCUUUUCCCUUCACGCUUCUCCCCGUCAUUGUAAUAACAGAAAAAUCCCUCGCAUCGCCACGACACCUGUCUUCAUCCCCAAAACCAUUCCCCUCGUCCCAAAACCUUGAAAAACAUUCUCUCUUUCGAUGGUUGAAUGAAAUGCUCUGUCCCAGCCGCGCCCUUUAACACGCGAUGCCUUCCAACCCUCGGCCAGAGAGAUAUUUAGAGAAUACACGCCCGUUCCGCACGUUCCGCCACGCUUUAGAGCGCUUUUCCCAAAACGUUGGAAAUUUUCCAGAUGCCGUCCGUCCCAUAAAUUCGCCAUGAAAUUCGUAACGUAAAGGGAAAGGCUCGGGUAUCGAGUUAUAUAUCCAAUAUAUAUAUAUGGGGACAAUGCUCGAUCCCAAUAUCACCGGGUAACGAGCACGUGGGGAGAGGUAGGGGGAGGGAGAUCACGAGAUCUUAUUAUUCGCAAGUUAUCGUUUCGAAAGUACAGAUUUUGCAGGCGAUAUAUUCAAAAUUUUGCAAGGUAAACCUAUGUUCGUGGAACAGAUUGUACGAGGAGGAUCCAUUCACGCACGGGUUACGAUAAUAGUAUGGAAAAUUGGCCGAGUGAAUAUCGGUGUGGGGAAGGGGGGAGGGACCGUUGGGAAAAAUCGAUGGGAUCUGGGAAGAAAGGGCGACAGUGUUGGGACGAAAAUGUUGCGGACACACUCGAUUUGCCAUUAUCCCGCCACGAGGAGAAAAUGUCACGCUUCGUGCUCCCUCCGUUAUUGACGCGAAAACCGUUCUUAAUCGCGAAUUUAACUUGUAGGAGGGGGCGAAUACCAAUCGUCGUUCCAUUUCCGUAAGUGCUUAAUCGGUCGGAAAUGAAUCGCGAUAUUCAAUCUGUAUCGUGAUACUGGAUACCCUGGAAAUAUAUAAGUCCAAAGUAUACUUUGAAUACGUGGAAGGAAUUGUCUUGUUCGCUAAAAAUUACUAUGAAUUUUAAAAUAAACUAUGGAUCGGUCUCGGUGGAAUUCAGGAAGUUCCUUUCAAAUUGAAACAGAAAGAGAGAGAGAGAGAGAAAAGGGUAUAUUCGGAAUGUCAGUUGUACCGGUAUUGCACGUUGUAGAUUAAUUUUGAUACGUUGCGAAAAAUAUUGAAGUGAUGGAGAGGGAUGAUGGAUUAGAUUUUAUUGGAUCUAUCUCAUGGCGUUUCAUAGAAUAUAUAGUGGAUGGAUGUACAGGAAAUUAAAAAUAAAUGAUAAAAAUGUAUCUGUUACAUUUCAUUUUUGACAGGAGAAAGAUUAUUAAGAUGAUAUUUGUAAUUUAAUGAGUGUAAGGUUGGAUUUGUAAAAUUUGUAAAACAAGAUAUGCUGAAUAUUCGAACAUACAUAUAUAUGUAUUAUUCAUUACAUUUAAUUGAUUUUAACUUUAAUAAUGGUAAUUUUUUGGUAUGGAGUUGGUAUUUUAUACCGAAUUAAUUUCUGCAUUUACAUCGAUGAUAUUCCAUAUUUUAAUUGAAUUUAGAAGAAAAGAAUAUAUUACAUUUCACAAAAUUAAAAAGGUGAAUUAUUCACCAGUGAUUAAAGAAGAAGAAUUGCUGUAUAACGCUUCUUUGAAAAAUAUUCUGCUUCUUUAAUUGCUACAAUGAGAAACAAAUUGUUCUUACUUCUUCCUGUAAAUUUUCUUUUAGACAUUCAAUUAUUUUUUAUAUUAAUAAUUUUGUUAAAUAUAUAUAUUAUUAUUAAUUAUUUAAUCUUCUAUUUUUAUCAUUUCAGACAAAUGGUUAAUUGUAUACUUUAAUGUAUAAUUAUCUACUAUCUCAUAAUAAAUGUAACAUCAUCUUUGAAAUCAUUUUAUUCUUUAAACAUUAUUCUUAUUUUAAUAAACGAGUAUUAAAAUAUUUUUAUUAGACAAAGAGAAGAUAAACAAUAGAGCAAGUAUAAUAAUUUCUUUCUAAUGAUAUAUUAAUUGGCAAGCAUGUACCAUUAAAAUUUAAUGUAUUCGUAUUUCAACAUUUUUGAGAAAUAUCUUAUACGUGUAUUUAUGUGUUAUAUAAAGAACGUGCGACAAAAAAAAAAUAAUUACAAGAUUAUAACGCACAAUGUAUUUCUCUUAGUUGAUGGAGUUGAUUGGAAAUUUCCUACCAGAAUCAGUAUCUGACAGCGGCAAUAAUAGCCUCGAUAAUAGACUGCGUUUUAUUUUUCAAUUACUUGGAGAAGAUACCAGAGAUUGUAUCGUAAGUUUCAGACAUAAUAAACUUGAGGAAAAAAAAGAAAACGAACAAGUUGUCUUGUAAUAUUUGUGAUAGAAAAUUUCAACUAGGGAAUUGUUUUAAAAAAUAGAACAUCGUAAAACCAAAGACCAGGAUCCAGGAGCCAUUUUUAACAAAAGGUGUAAGGCGAAACGUGUAAAUAUAUAUAGACAAUUUUUAAUCUUCUUUUUUUUACACUAUUUGAAAUUCUCCAUAUUGCAAAAACUUAGAAUAAUUAUAUAGCGAUAAUUAAAUAUCGGAUAGAUUUAUCAUUAAAUCUUUUUAAAAUUAAAAAACGUUCUCUCUAUACUCCUAGCAAUAUUUAUUAAGAACGCGUAACAUAGAAUACAUAAAAUUCCAAUUAUAGAAAUUAUAGAAAUUCAAGUAAUUUAAUUGUAUUAUAAAAAGAAUCGUGUAAAACACCAUCAAAUUAAUCUUCUUUAACAUCAUCUCACCAUACAUUUCACUCACAAUUUUUCUAAAAAAUUCUGUCCAUUAACUGUGAAGUUGAUAAAACGCAAAUGUUAAACAACCCUCAGAGAGUGGAAAGCUUUAAUCCAAUAUCACGACGCGUUAACGGAGCACAUAACGAAGCCGACGAAUUACAGUUGAAAUACGGGUUUCAGGAUGGAAAAAUUCCAUCCUGAGUGGUUGCAGCCAUCAAGGCGCUUAUCUACCGACGAACAGCCGUAGUUUACUUUACGUAUGUUAAGGAAACAUUAAUUUGGCCGCAAAAGUUUGCAUUGCAUCGGUGUUCCGCAACGUAUCCGAGUUGUCGGGCACGGUUAACCUGUGUAUACGUCACGUUUGUCCCUUGCGAUCCUCCUCUCCCCCUCCUCCUCGCAUCCGUGGUUACCGUCUCUCGAUGAGGGCGUGGGUUUCGUUAGUUUCUUGCAACAGCCGGCGCGGAACGCGUUAGUGGUUCGACGUUACGAGAUUAUAACGACGUAUACACGGAAAUUUCUGGAGAAAUUUCUCGAUACCAUUAAACGCGAGAACUCUCCGUUAACUUAAAUAUCGAACUUUCCAACGAUGAUAACUCGUCGCUUUAACCCGAUCAACACACACACACACACAUACACACGCGCGCGCGCUUACGCACGAGUGACGAGCUCGUGUCCUCCCCUGUUUAACUUGCUCCUUGCUGUUUUCGUUUGUGUGCCUACGCCAAUUUCAUUCAUUAGUCCUAAAAUCGUCGAGUUUAUGAUUGCCAAACAGUUGUUGAUCCCGGGAAUAGUCAGCGAGGUUGAUUUUCAUCCGUGUUUGCCCAACAAGUUGACACAACACGUUCUCCGAGGUAUCAACCCUCGGUUAACCGAGUUUAUUUAACGUUUUGACGAAUUACGUUUGAGAAAUUAGAUUUAGAUCUCUUUCUGUUGCUUUUAUCCUCCAAAUUAAUCCCUCUGUUUACCGGAAUACAAAGGGAUUGAGCAGGGAAUGAUGUUAAAUACUCGAGAACAAGAUCUUUCUUGCAGAGUUUAGAGUUUUUCUCACUUUGAAUGUAGUCAUCUCGAGUGCAGAAAAGUGAAAAGUGAAGGUAAAGAUUACUUUCAUCUGCAUUUCGUUCAAAGAAUAUGUAAAAUGCUGUAAAAUAAAGUCGAUCUUUAUUUUUAAUAUAGAAUGAAAUGUUUGGUUUAUUUGUAAUAACAAUAAAACGACAAGUUAAAUAAAGUUUCAGUUUAGUUUUUUGAUGUGCAUCUCGGAUGAUCGUUCAUAAAGGUACAAAGAUUAUUUUUAAUGAACGGGAUGAAUGAGUUUUCUAUAUAAUAGAAAAGUUUUUUUUAUAUGGAAAGAUGAAUCUGGAAAUUAUGAGUGGAAUAAGAAAUCUGAAAAUGAUCGUAAAGCAAACAUCCAUAAAAAGUUGGAUUUACUUUAAAUGAUACAAAAGCCAAAACAAAAACAAUUCGAAUUAGCUGACAUUUUGAGAAUUAGGGAAUUGAAUUCAAUUAUUGAACAAGUGUAAACAUUCGAGCUUUCAUUGAAUAUUCAUGAAUCAAUUAAUGAAUUAAUUUUAUUCUUUGAAUCGCAAUGAAUACCCAAAAUGAAAUAUAAGUGAAUAGUUAUUCAAACAACAAAGUUGAAAAUAUCUUUUGAAUUUGAAUGAUGAGCAUUUUAAUUAAAUAUAUUGAAUUAUAAAUAUCAUUUUUCUGUUGAAGUUAAGUUAACUCAAUUUCAACAUUCGCUAUUCCUGCUAAUAUUUUGAGAAUCAAAGAAUCUAAUUGAAUCAUCGAACAGAAAAAGAAAGGAAAAAAGAAAUAUUUUUUUCAAAUUCAAAGCGAAUGAAUCAUCCACGACGACUGUCAAAAAUCUAAAAAAGCGUAAAAUUUGCCUGAAAUACUCGAGAUUUCUCUGUGUAUACGGGAUCAUGGAAAGUGAAAAAGUGUAAAUUUGGCUUAAGGAUUCACGAAGCUUCUCGUUUAAAAUGGGCAUUGAAUUUUAAUAACUCGCUUCUCUUACGAGUUUCAUCCUCUUACUCGAAAAUCGAGGUGAAAGGAUCAUUCACGAUUCGCUUUAACUUUGCUUUAAAUUUGUUCCGAAACCAACGUCGUUCGACGCUUCUAUUUUCGAAACACUUCCGACGAGCGAGCCGGCUCCGUCUUGGUUACUCCUUUCCCUUACACCUGGCGGGUCAAAGUUAAAUCGCGCCUAACCCUUCCAACUACGGCUGUUUGUAAAUCGACGCUUUGAACUUGAGACGUCGCCCACCCCAACGAUAGCUAAAGCCCUUUAUGUAAUUAGAGAGAAAGAGAGAGAGAGAGAAAGAAAGAGAGAGAGAACGAUAGCCUCCGUAUCCUUGACACGAGCUCUUUUAAAACUUUCGCUUGUCGUUUGAUCAUUAUUAUCCGAAGAUGUACAAAUUUUUCAAAUUUUCCUCCUAUUUUCCUUUAGUUUCGUCAUUUCUUAUCAAUUAUGAUCGCCAUUUCGAUUGUUUAAAGGAAAAGGAAUAUGAGGAUAAAUAUUUUAAUGAUAAUAUCGUUUUAAUUAUUUUUAACGAGCUUUAAAGAUACGUAUAUAUAUAUAAUAUAAUUGGAUAGUUUUGAUAAUAAAUAAACGAAUAAAUAAAUAAUUUAUGAAAUAAAAUUGUUUAAAUUAGUAUGAAUUAAAAAAUCAUAACUGAUGAAAGAAAUUUAUAUAAUUUUCUUUUCAACGUGCAAAUGUUGAGUUUUGCUAAUUCUUCAUCUUACUUCUUAAAUUUCAAUUAAAAAAUAUGAUAUUGUAUCAUGGAAUUGUUAUUAUUAUAACUUAUCUUCUUUGAAAAUUAUAAAAUGAACAAUAAGAAGAGUAAAUUUCAUUUAAAUAUAUACGCGAAGAAACUUUGCAUAAACUUUAAUUGUAUAAACAUAGGACGUCCAUUAAAUCUUAAUGACAACUUGCAAUCUUCAAUUUACUUAUAUUUAUCAUUGUUAAAGAUCUCAUUGUUAUGUAUGUAUAAAUCACAAUUCUUAACGUUUCAUAUUUCUUCCUUGUCUCAUAUUUCUAUCUUUAUUCAUAUUAGCUUAGAUUUCUAUUAUUUUUCUUGCGUUCAACUUUCAUUGUUACCAAUAAAAAACCGACAUGUAAAUAUCUCGUUACCUCUUGAAAUGUGUGGCACAGAUGAAUGCCAUUAAAUUUUGCGUAUCUCUCGUAUUUUUUUGACAUUUCAAAAUGACCUCGAUUUUUCGCACGAUCAAUAGAUCUCUUUUUUAAUGCAGCAUGAAAAGUCGAAAUUCCAUAAUAAAUUGAUUUUCAAAUUAAAAUCUUGAUCCUCAAACUGGAAUAAAAUAUUUAAUAUAUUUUUUACAAAAAAUUUAAUCCAAUAGUUCCUUUUCCAAUCCUGGUAUCAAAUUCCGUUUAUCUAAAUCAAUUUUGAUACAAUCGAGAGAUAACGAAUUAAUAAUCGUUACUUUUCUAUCGAUUUUAUUUCAACGCGUGCUCGUAAAUUCGAAAGUUCGAAGUUUUCGCGCCAUUAUGAAAAUAUUUUCCUCGCAGAAUUAUAGAAUUUCGAAAUUUUGGCUCGCAUGCCCGCGAGAUUACGAGGUCGCUCUGUAAAAUUAAUGGCGUGGAAAUUAAUUAUUUCGCUCAUCUCGGUGAUAAAUGUCGUUUUAAACACGAAUUCCUGAACGCGUGUCGGCACGCCACAACCUUCUUCGGCGUUUCCCUUUCUUCUCCAGGUUGCCUCACUUUCGGCAAUCGUACAAUCGACGCUGCAUCGAAUUUUCAUCCAAAAAUGGGAACAGCCGCGAAACAGGUCGACCCUUUGCUGAAAAUUAAAUUGUAUUCAUGUAAUAUUAUUUUUGCAGAGAGGCGGGAAAGCUACUCACUUUUGGCAACAAAAUCGCCUCGGUUUAUUUCGCUAUACUGAUUUUCCCAGAAAAAGUUUCGUUUAUGCGGAGAAAAUGUCUCGUUACGUUUCACUGUGCAUAAAUUGAUAUUAAGUUGAGAUUAAAUUUGACUGGCCUCGGUUAAUUUUGUUCCUCUGUUUGUUCUCCAUUCUUUGUAAAUACUAAAUACAUUAUUAAUUAUUGUAUAAUAAUUAUUAAUUAAUGAUUUCAGUAAGUCUUGUAUUUAAUAAAACAACUUUGAAUUUUUUUUAAACUGCUUUUUUACAAUAGAAAUAAUAUAAUCUUAUUUUGUUUGUGAAAAACAGUUAAACAAUAUAAUUUAAUCAUUGAUACCUAUAUAGUAUUAAUUUCACAAUGAUAGAAUUAUUGACUCAAUUUGUAAAAAUUGUUUAUUAAAUUAUUCUUUGGUAAAUGAUAAUCAAUAAAGCAACUAACAAUAUACAUAAAAUAAAACUGAUUCUAGGUCAAAUAAAUCUGAACAAAAUUAAUAUUUCAUUGGAAAGGAAUAUACGGAGGAAUAAAAAUUUUCUAAUUAUCUUUACUUUUCUUGUCUUUUAUCGAAUGAAUAGAAUGGCAAGAUUAAAAGUAUUUCGCUAGAAAAAAGAAAUAUAAGAUUGAGAUAUAAGAAUUUUCUAAUUGCCUUUAUUCCUCUGUCUUUGAUUCGCUUUAUUUCAACCCUUUACGUGAACGUGUCUAUGCACUUGAGACUGAAUUUCUCUACUCCGGCAAUGUUUUAUCUGUUAAACUAUCCAAGAAAGGUUUCGUUCACGCGAAAUUACUUCGUUUCCUUGAUAAUACUAUGAAUUUUUAUCUUUCCAAGGUGAAUCGUUCAUUCAUCGAAAUUUAUUCCACACUUUAUGAUCGCGGUGGAUGCAUAAAUGGAUAGAUGGAAUAGAGACAAUGCGUAUUCUAGAGACUAUGAAAAUAAAAACAAGAAAAAAAAAGAAAAGUUGCGAGAUGAAAUUGAAACAUCGUAUAACCGUAAUAGUAUGCCUCAAAAUGGGAAACCAUUUUGUUGAUUAUUCCAUUUUUCGAAAUGGCCACCUUCGCGAUUCUCCUCCGUUUUAUAUCCUUUUUUUUUUUCUUUCUUCCGUUCCUUGAAUUAGUAACGAUCGAUGAAACGUUUGAAAAAAUUCGAGAAGGGGAUCCGAGAUCUUUAGAACAGUUGUUCGUUCGAGAUGAGCUUCGAAAGAAUGAAGAGGCGGAUUUAUUCGUGCGAAUAAUUAUUAUACGUUAACGAAGAAAUGGGAAGAAGCUCGUGGAUAGAUAGGAAUGUUUUAACGGAUGAGAUAUAUUAAAGAA
rnacentral:lncRNA from 1 species